GACGAACGCUGGCGGCGUGCUUAACACAUGCAAGUCGAACGAAGUGGCGAACGGGUGAGUAACGCGUAAUCAACUUGCCCUUCAGAGGGGGACAACAGUUGGAAACGACUGCUAAUACCCCUGACUGCAGGAGGGUAUUGCGGUUGAUGAGAUAGUUGGAGGGGGAACGGCCCAACAAGGCGAUCAUCAGUAGCCAGUCUGAGAGGAUGAACGGCCACAUGGGGACUGAGACACGGCCCAGACUCCUACGGGAGGCAGCAGUGGGGAAGCAUCCGAAAUGGACGAAAGGCUGACGGAGCAACGCCGCGUGAGUGAUGACGGCCUUCGGGUUGUAAAGCUCUGUUAAUCGGGACGCGGUACCGGAAUAGAAAGCCACGGCUAACUACGUGCCAGCAGCCGCGGUAAUUC
rnacentral:rRNA from 1 species